rnacentral:misc_RNA from 1 species
UACUAUAUGCAGCCUAUGGCGAAGGAGUAAAUCAUAAUUACGGUGGAUGCUGCCACCAACUGAAUUCUCAAUGGGGAGGACUGCUUUAUCCACUAACCAGAGUUCAACAGCCUUGAAUGCAGCUUCAAAAUGUUCACAUGGGACAGUUUCACACUUGGGGUAUGCUUUUAGUGCAGCAGCCUCACUAUAUGCUCCUGAUAUUCCCUGAUAAGCAACCCGUACUUUUAUGCUGUCAUUGCGAGAUGCAGAAAGAUCUGUUGCUGAUAAUGGUUUAGGUAGAAGGUUCAAAUCCUUGUGAAAGACUCUGGACUCGGUGUCCUGAACCUUAUCAAUUGCCCCAGAAGGCUCCACCUCAGGAGUGAAGGGCUUCUCAUCAUCUUUAACAGGAGUGAUAACUCUCUGAGCCAAAACAGCCAAACGACAACGUUCCCGCUCAGGGAACCUAUCAAAAUCCCAA